rnacentral:rRNA from 1 species
UGGGGAAUAUUGCACAAUGGGGGAAACCCUGAUGCAGCGACGCCGCGUGAACGAAGAAGGUAUUCGUAUCGUAAAGUUCUGUCCUGUGGGAAGAUAAUGACAGUACCAUAGAAGAAAGCUCCGGCUAAAUACGUGCCAGCAGCCGCGGUAAUACGUAUGGAGCGAGCGUUGUCCGGAAUUAUUGGGCGUAAAGGGUACGCAGGCGGUUUAAUAAGUCGAAUGUUAAAGAUCGGGGCUCAACCCCGCAAAGCAUUGGAAACUGAUAAACUUGAGUAGUGGAGAGGAAAGUGGAAUUCCUAGUGUAGUGGUGAAAUACGUAGAUAUUAGGAGGAAUACCAGUAGCGAAGGCGACUUUCUGGACACAAACUGACGCUGAGGUACGAAAGCGUGGGGAGCAAACAGG